AUUCUGAAAACAUUUCUGGGCAGGGUGUCUUUGCUGAUUACCAAAUCGUCUCAUCCCAAAUCCCUUCAUGCUUCUAGCCUUGGGGAGACCACUGUACCUUCUGCAUUAGAAACUGGACACGUUAGCUGGGCGCGGUGGCUCAAGCCUGUAAUCCCAGCACUUUGGGAGGCCGAGACGAGUGGAUCACGAGGUCAGGAGAUCGAGACCAUCCUGGCUAACACGGUGAAACCCCGUCUCUACUAAAAAUACAAAAAACUAGCCGGGCGAGGUGGCGGGCGCCUGUAGUCCCAGCUACUCGGGAGGCUGAGAUAGGAGAAUGGCGUAAACCCGGGAGGCGGAGCUUGCAGUGAGCUGAGAUCCGGCCACUGCACUCUAGCCUGGGCGACAGAGCGACGCUCCGUGUCAAAAAAAAAAAAAAAAAAGAAACUGGACACAUUGGGGUCCAUAUUUGGAAUUUGGAUUCUGUGAUAACAAUAGUGACUGUUAUGCACUCUUAAUAAUUCAGUAAUGAUGCCUUUUUUCCCUUAAAGACAGGUUCUUGCUCUGUUUUCCAGGCUGGAGUGCAGUGGCACAAUCACAGUUUACUGCAGCCUCCAAUUCCUGGGCUCAAGUGAUCCUCUUUCCUCAGCCUCCUGAGUACACAGGACUACAGUCCAUUUUCACGCUGCUGAUAAAGACAUACCCGAGACUGGGAAGAAAAAGAGGUUUAAGGGACCCACAGUUCCACAUGGCUGGGGAGGCUUCACAAUCAUGGCAGAAGACAAGGAGGAGCAAGUCAUGUCUUACAUGGAUGGCAGCAGGCAACAAAGAGAGAGAGAGAGCUUGUGCAGGGAAACUCCUCUUCAUAAAACCAUCAGUUCUCAUGAGACUUAUUCACUAUCAAGAGAAUAGCACGGGAAAGAACUGUCUCCCAUGAUUCAAUUACCUCCCACUAGGUCCCUCCCAUGACAUGCAGGAAUUGUGGGAGCUACAAUUCAAGAUGAGAUUUGGGUGGGAACACAGCCACACCAUAUCACCUGCCUAGGAAUUGGGCAUACAGGUAGGGAUCCCAGUGUCAGAGGCAUUUAACAAGAGCAACUCUAUCUUAAAUAAAAGCUGUAUAAAAUAAGGCUGAGACCUACUGGGCUGCAUUCCCAGGAGGUUAAGGCAUUCUUAGUCACAGGAUGAGAUAGGAGGUCAGUACAAAAUACAGGUCGUAAAGACCUUGCUGAUAAAACAAGAUGCAGUAAAGAAGCCAGCCAAAGCCCAUCAAAACCAAGAUGGUGAUGAAACUGACCUCUGGUGGUCCUCACUGCUCAUUAUAUGCUAAUUAGAAUACAUUAGCAUGCUAAAGACACUCCCCUCAGCACCAUGACAGUUUACGGAUGCCAUGGCAACAUCAGUAAAUUACCUCAUAUAGUCUAAAAAUGGGAAGAACCCUCGGUUCUGGGAAUUGCUCACCCUUUCCUGGAAAACUCAUGAAUAAUCC
rnacentral:lncRNA from 1 species